GAUGAACGCUGGCGGCGUGCCUAAUACAUGCAAGUCGAGCGAACAGACGAGGAGCUUGCUCCUCUGACGUUAGCGGCGGACGGGUGAGUAACACGUGGAUAACCUACCUAUAAGACUGGGAUAACUUCGGGAAACCGGCGCUAAUACCGGAUAAUAUAUUGAACCGCAUGGUUCAAUAGUGAAAGACGGUUUUGCUGUCACUUAUAGAUGGAUCUCCGCCGCAUUAGCUAGUUGGGAAGGUAACGGCUUACCAAGGCAACGCUGCGUAGCCGACCUGAGAGGGGGAUCGCCCACACUGGAACUUAGACACGGUCCAGACUCCUACGGGAGGCAGCAGAAGGGAACCUGCCGCAAUGGGCGAAAGCCUGACGGAGCAACGCCGCGUGAGUGAUGAAGGUCUUCGGAUCGUAAAACUCUGUUAUUAGGGAAGAACAAAUUUGUAAGUAACUAUGCACGUCUUGACGGUACCUAAUCAGAAAGCCACGGCUAACUACGUG
rnacentral:rRNA from 1 species